UGUCUGUGUGCCGAAACCUUCUGCUUUUUGUUUACGUUGCAGGAAACAGUCAAGUUGCUUCCCAAGUCUCCUAAACUGCAUGGCGGCCAUAACUGGAAUUCCCAGGGCCCCCGCUGGGGUUCUUUGAAAGGAAAGGAGAGCACCCAAGGGAGCAGCCUGUACAAGUUUAGCUCAGCAAAGGAAAAAUGGAAGGAAGGGCGAAUCAGUCCUGAACAAGAAGCUGAGGAACUGGAGGAUCCUGAUGAGGAUGAGCCUAUAUCCAAAUUCUCUGGGAGCCUUUUUGAUUCCAGUGAUAACAUCCGGGACCAAAGAAGCGCUAGAGUUGGCCUUCAACAGGAGAGACAGAAAGUGGCACCAAAAGGGAAAAAUGUUCCAGCAGCCAACAAGAAGCCGCAGGUCCCAGCUGCAGCUACUACCAAUAGCCUCCCAACGGAGGGCAUCAGGUUUUCCAAGGAAAGCAAAGACCAAGUCCUUGGAGCUGCAGACUCAACUCAGGCACCUUUGAAGAUAACCAUUACUGUGUCCAGUCAAAUGGGGAGUCUUGGUAUUAGCAUUGCUGGUGGAAAGGGCUCAUCUUCAUGUAAAGAAAAUGAUGAGGGGAUUUUAAUAGCUCAUGUCUCCAAAGAUGUCCCAGUUGAAAUGGAGGAGGAACAAUCUGAAGACAAAGUAUUAGAGGAUGCCACUUUUUCUGAACCCAGCACACCUGAUUCUGGUCCUGCAGAGCUACCAUCUAAAAGUGGUCCAUUUCAAACAAUAAACCAUGUUAUAACAAUACCUCGCAUCAUCCUAACACGCCCUUCAACUUCAGAUGAAGAUACUGACCAGUUACCACAAGACCCGGAUGAUUUUGAGCCAGAGGAAACAGAGAAUACUGAAGGCCACCUCUAUUCAGACUGUUUAAACAAUGCUUUUUAUCCUCCUUAAUAAAAUGUUCUUUUUAGGAAAAACAACAACAACUAAGUAUCAUGGUAUUUAUUGUUCUUUUACUGUCACAUGGAAAGGUGAAGGCGAAGGGAGAAGAUUUGGAGAGGGUGAGAGGAAAAAGGGUCUAUCAAGAUGGGGAGCCAUGUAGGAUGGGUGCCAGGGAAGGCAGCUUGUAUUUCAGGUCGACUGAGAUUACUCAAGAUAGCUAAGAUGGAAGAGAGAAUGUGCUUGGAAGUAUUUAUCUACAUACAAACAAAGAAAAACAAAACAUUUCACAGCUGCUUCUCUGUACCUAACAACCUUGAGGGACUGGCGAUUAGGUACUUAAGACUUUCAUAGCAUUUAAUGGACUAUAUCCAAGGACAAUCUCAUAUGGACAUUUUCAUGUUUCUAAUUGACAGAAAGCCACAAGCAAGUGGUUUGUCUCUAGUAAGUGUAAUCAUAUAUAUGUAGUAUUAUGGAUUUCUGUGCUUUUACUUCUCAAGAAGCAAGCAUAAAUGAAGGUACAGGUGGGAAACAGCAGUCCUUUGGAUCAAUUCUUUUUGAGUUGAGGAGAAGAUAGUGAUUAGCAUUUUUCUCCUAAUGUUUUAGGAACUGCCACCAUAUUUAUUCCCAUUGUCUACAACUGAGAAUUUCUUUCCUGGGAAAUCUCUGUGGACCAACAAUUGCACUGGUCUACCACAUUCAGUAGUCCUGCUCUAGGA
rnacentral:lncRNA from 1 species